rnacentral:lncRNA from 1 species
UUGUAGACUGCGGUCCAUACUUUCUUUAUCAGCCGAUCCAGAGUUUCUCAUAGCCCACAGUCAAUGCAGGGGCUCAUUAGUGGGUCACCAAAGUCUGGUUGAUGAGCCAAGGGAUCGUAAUAUCAGUUUGUGGAUUUCAAGUUCUCCCCUAGAGACAUGUCAAUGUUACCUAGACCUGAUGCGACCACAAUUUCUAUGACGCAUAGGGGUAGCUCUCGCACAUGCAUAAGCUUCACUCUAAAAAGUGGUUCGCUUUUCCGAAACGGCUAUCAUUAUGCAUGUUGUGUGAUGGUACAUGGAUGCAGCUUUGGCCCCCGUCUCUGAAGGCCACCAUCACACACAAGGGUCACACAGUCCCUCGGCUCACUCAUCCAAGAAUACUCCAACCUCAUUAAGAGAUGACUUAUCAAAAUCCUUAUCAAAUAGUUUUCUAUGCCCAGGUAACAUAGGUUUUUCCUAACUGAGUGGCCUAGCUCGUCAAGCUCAUUCCAGUAUCAGCAAACAUCAUUUGCUUAGUAUAGCCCAUGAGGGACCACACUCCCACUGAGUUCAUGAUCCACUAUAACAUUU